CCUUGUACACACCGCCCGUCACACCAUGGGAGUCAGUUGCUCCAGAAGUGGCUUACCUAACCCGCAAGGGAGGGUGGUCCCCAAGGAGUGGCUGGUAACUGGGUG
rnacentral:rRNA from 1 species